GUUAAUCAUAAACAAUUUUCCCUUAAUAUCGCGACUGCAUAAAGGCGCUCAUUAGACAUUUGCACGAUGUCGCAGAGUAGGCUUGGCGCAGGCCUGCCUAUGCCUUCCUUUUGCCUUCACGAAAUCUUCCUUUCUAAUUUCGUCUAUAUUCGCACCGUAUUCCUCGAACUUUUGUAUAUUUUUGUACACAACACUUUUGCUGACGUUUAAUUUUUUCGCAAUUUCUUUCGGUUUCUCGUCAUUCAAGUACAACAUUAUAAUAACUUUAAUUUUCUCAAACGAGACUACUGAUUUCCUUGCAUAUCUAACCGUCGCCUCAGAAUCGAUGCUUGAAACAGACGACAUCGUUACCGACGAUAUGUUCAACACAGCUAAUUCCUCGCCUUCAUCGUGGAAAGCUGCCUCUUUUAUACCUCACGGUAGCUAAUCGCGCGUGUAUGCAAAUUUGGCUGUUUAGCAAGAGGCAACGACAUAAUAGGUAUCUGGAACUAGGUAUAUUACAUUGCAGUUAACGAUUGCAAUUUGUAUUUGCAAGGGUUAAAUGUGCACACAUUGUGGUGCAGUGGACCUCUGGCAAAUGCAUUUUGUCCUCCCUUUUCUGCGGCGCGUCCUCGGAGGGGCGAGGGCGCUCCUCGGUUUCUCUCAGCGAUCGCGCACUAUCAUGGAGCAGUUUGCUGCCCUUCUUGAUGUCUUUGAGAGUGUGCUUGGCGAUGUUCAGAAGUACGUCCAUGAUGUCUUUCCUGUGUAUGCGGU
rnacentral:lncRNA from 1 species